rnacentral:rRNA from 1 species
UACAGAGGGUGCGAGCGUUAAUCGGAAUUACUGGGCGUAAAGCGCGCGUAGGCGGUUUUUUAAGUCGGAUGUGAAAGCCCCGGGCUCAACCUGGGAACUGCAUUCGAAACUGGAUGACUAGAGUAUGGUAGAGGGUGGUGGAAUUCCUAGUGUAGCGGUGAAAUGCGUAGAUAUUAGGAGGAACAUCAGUGGCGAAGGCGACCACCUGGACCAAUACUGACGCUGAGGUGCGAAAGCGUGGGGAGCAAACAGG